rnacentral:rRNA from 1 species
GAUGAACGUUGACAGAAUGCUUAACACAUGCAAGUCAACUUGAACUUCGGUUUGGGUGGCGGACGGGUGAGUAACGCGUAAAGAACUUGCCUCACAGCUAGGGACAACAUUUGGAAACGAAUGCUAAUACCUGAUAUUAUGAUUAUAUGGCAUCGUAUAAUUAUGAAAGCUAUAUGCGCUGUGAGAGAGCUUUGCGUCCCAUUAGCUAGUUGGAGAGGUAACAGCUCACCAAGGCGAUGAUGGGUAGCCGGCCUGAGAGGGUGAUCGGCCACAAGGGGACUGAGACACGGCCCUUACUCCUACGGGAGGCAGCAGUGGGGAAUAUUGGACAAUGGACCGAGAGUCUGAUCCAGCAAUUCUGUGUGCACGAUGAAGUUUUUCGGAAUGUAAAGUGCUUUCAGUUGGGAAGAAAAAAAUGACGGUACCAACAGAAGAAGUGACGGCUAAAUACGUG